rnacentral:rRNA from 1 species
CGCGCAGGCGGCGGCAGAAGUUCCGGGUGAAAGCCCCGGCUCAACCGGGGAAGGUCCUGGAAAACCAUGCGGCUGGAGUGCUGGAGAGGCUAGCGGAAUUUCGGGUGUAGCGGUGAAAUGCGUAGAUAUCCGAAGGAACACCGGAGGCGAAGGCGGCUAGCUGGACAGACACUGACGCUGAGGCGCGAAAGCCAGGGGAGCAAACG